rnacentral:rRNA from 1 species
UGCCUUGGGCUACACACGUACUACAAUGGUUGGUACAACGAGUUGCGAGUCGGUGACGGCGAGCUAAUCUCUUAAAAGCCAAUCUCAGUUCGGAUUGUAGGCUGCAACUCGCCUACAUGAAGUCGGAAUCGCUAGUAAUCGCGGAUCAGCACGCCGCGGUGAAUACGUUCCCGGGCCUU